GAUGAACGCUGGCGGCGUGCCUAAUACAUGCAAGUCGAGCGAACAGACGAGGAGCUUGCUCCUCUGACGUUAGCGGCGGACGGGUGAGUAACACGUGGAUAACCUACCUAUAAGACUGGGAUAACUUCGGGAAACCGGAGCUAAUACCGGAUAAUAUAUUGAACCGCAUGGUUCAAUAGUGAAAGACGGUUUUGCUGUCACUUAUAGAUGGAUCCGCGCCGCAUUAGCUAGUUGGUAAGGUAACGGCUUACCAAGGCGACGAUGCGUAGCCGACCUGAGAGGGGGGUCGGCCAACCUGGACCGGAAACCGGGCCCGAACCCCCAGGGGAGGCAGCGGGGGGGAAUUUCCCGCAAUGGGCGAAGGCCGGAGGGGGAAACCCCGGGGGGGGGAUAAAGGUUUUGGGAUCGAAAACCUCUUUUUUUGGGGAAGAAAAAAGGUUAAAGUAACUAUGCACGUUUUGACGGUACCAAACCAAAAAGCCGCGGCUAACUGCGU
rnacentral:rRNA from 1 species